rnacentral:rRNA from 1 species
UACAGAGGGUGCGAGCGUUAAUCGGAAUUCCUGGGCGUAAAGCGCGCGUAGGCGGCUUUGCAAGUCGGGUGUGAAAUCCCCAGGCUUAACCUGGGAACUGCAUUCGAGACUGCAUUGCUAGAGUAUGGGAGAGGGAAGUGGAAUUUCCGGUGUAGCGGUGAAAUGCGUAGAUAUCGGGAGGAACACCUGAGGCGAAGGCGGGCUACUGGGCCGAUACUGACGCUGAUGCGCGAAAGCCAGGGGAGCGAACGGG